CGAGGGGGAUGACACUUCGCGAUUUGAAUAAAAUCGCGCCAAAUCGCGUCAAAUUCCUUCAUUCCUGUUCAUCGUAGCUUCAUCGCGGUCGUUUUUCCCUCAUCGCGCCAAAUCGCGCCAGAUCGCGCUCAUCGUGCUCAUCGUGUUCAGAUCGUGCUCGAAUGAAAAUUUACAUUCAUGCAGUUAGAGUUGCCAUACAAAAUUCGUUCUAGCAGUUUUCCAUGAAACUGGCCGCACUGUUGAAAUGUUUAUUUGUAUUGAUUCGAGCAGUCCGAAAAAGUAAAUAAACCGAAAUUCUUCGUUGUUUCGGGGCGGAUUGCGGCAGCUGCUCUUGAAGAUUCUUUUUUUUUUCUCGCGUUCGGACAAGGUGUUCAGUUUGAGGUUCAGCAGGAACUUUUUCACCUGGUAUGAGCUGGAGCCUGCACCCGGGGGGUGGUGACACUUCGGUGUAACUGGUGUUUCCUAUGCUGCAAGGUCUCAUCUGCUGUGAAACCGGCGAAACCUGCCUGACGGCCUUCCACCUCGAGUGACUCCACCGGAAGGUCGCUACAUCUGUGAAAAAUUCGAAUCCGGCCGAAUGAUUCUGUACGACGAAAUAGUCUGGGCCAAAUGUUCCGUGUUCAAGUUCUGACCCGCGCUCACGAUUCCCCUUCCAGCGGUCCCGGACGUAUUGUUCCGGCGGCAACACAAGCAAACGGACGUUUACGUGCGCUUCUUCGGCACGCACGACCUUGGCUGGAUCAACCGGAGGCGAAUCUACCACUAUCACGAGGUCGACGCGGACAGCGUGGCGGAUAGAAAGCGGUCGGACAUGAUGGAGCGGUACAACGAGGCUGCGCAUGGCACGGCAGGGUUUCAAGCAGCUGCAGGCAGAAAAAUCUUACGUCCAGGAAUCUGCCCCGGACGAUUUGAGCUUUAAACCGCCGAUGUACGUCAACAUCAAGUCCAGCGCGGCCAGAGACGAGGAGGAGGACUCGAUCUGUGAGGGCAAAUUGUUGGACAAGGACCCGUGCGGGUUACACUCGAAUUGCAUCAACCGGGCGCUGCUCUUGGAGUGCAAUUUGAAGACUUGUCCAGCAGGCGAAAUUCACCAGAACCAGUGUUUCAAACGGAAGUAGUACAAACGGAUACCCAACAGGUUGGAACUGGUCGCUAAGGAAGAUGCACCAGGGUCGGUUUGUGAUCGAGUCCGAGAGGGGAUCAACACCGGGGAGUUAACGCGGCGGAUAAAGCAAAAGCAGGAGCAACAGGGCAAAAAUUACUAUUUCAUGACGGUGGAAUCGGAGCUGACGAUCGACGCGGGGCCCAAGGGCAACUUGGCCCGGUUCAUCAACCACUCGUGCGAGCCUUGGUGCGAGCCCUACUGCGAAACGCUGCUUUGGAAGGUCGGCGGAAGCCAAUCCGUGGGGCUGUUUGCCCUCAGUCCUUGAGGCGGCUAAAAGCUCAUAUUAACUACAACUUUGAGAACUUCGACGACCAGAAGAUCUGCCACUGUGGUGCGGACAAGUGUUCCAGGCUGAUCGUCAGCCAAGGGACGGAGAACUGAAUUGAGGAGGCUACAACGGUCUUGCGCGACUUGCAGGUGCAGAUUGCAACGUGGGUUACCUGCUCAAGUGCUCAAACGCCAACAGUGACCCACGCCAGCGGAAAAGUACCUUGCGGAUCCAUCGUGGAAAGAAUUCUACCUUGCCAAGGGUUGACCAUUAAACGUUCACGAAGAAACGAACCUAUGUUACUAAGUUGUGUAAACCGUAACAAAAGAAUAUAAAACAAUGUAAAUGUUAUCGAAAUAAAUUCAAAACGCUGCGGCAGUUGCAGCCGCAAUCGGUGGAGCUACUCCGGUAGCCUCCUGAGCUUCGGUGGGAGGAUGUCCUCUUCUUAUCAUCUGGCUGUUUAACUUCUGAUCCAAACAAUCCUAUCGAGGAAUCUUCACAGUUCUUACCACCGCGGAUAUUCUAGCGGAAAGAUCCCGUUAGUCUCUGAGCCCCCACUUUUCUCGAUAAUUUCUCGUAACCUCAAAUUUCACUCGCCGCAGCUGCAGUUUUCUGGAAGCUAAGAUUAAAAGACACUCGAAAUCGUUGGUAGUCAUGUUUUACUUCACUCAACAGAACACGCUCGCUGUAAAUUAAACCGUUCUCAUUAACCAACCCUGAUCUGGGACCGGAAGUAGCUGCCUCGCUCAUGUUGAAGUUGCGCGAAUCCAUUCUAGUUAUCCUUUAACUUGUUUCCUUCCAAACAAGUGCUUGUUGAAUAAUAAAGGGGGAAUAAUAGAUGACACUGCAAAACUCCUGACCAUCGUAAUUAUCCCGUUAGGUGUUCUUGCCACGUAACUUCCGGGAGACCCGAGAUUUUACGGUACUGACAAUCAUAUAUUCACCGGCUUCGCUGAAAUGGAAAACCAAAUGUCGUUGAGUCCCCUCUGCCGGUCAGCAUAGGCCUUCUUCUCAAAGACCGGCGCAAAGUCGGUGGCCGUUUGACCAAUGGCGUUACAGGCGGCGUAACGAACUCUCGGAUGGGAUCCAUCAAUUACUUGACCACGCCCCGCAUGAUGUCCGUCUGCUUGUAGUAACCCUAGCCAGCGGUCGAGACGACUAUCAGAGCGGCGUGCCGUUACUUCCAGUUUGAAUGGUUCAACAUGUUCGGAAUGUUUGUGAUAAUGUGCGGCAGAAAGGGCCGAAGGCGUCGAUGGCCGGACAGCGGUCGAAGCGGAAUUCGGCGGUUGUCGCAUAGCAUCUGGCAAUGUCUCCGAAGAUCGGCGUCGUACCAUCCAGCUGCAGCAGCUUGUUCGUCUUGAGCAGGUUCUCGGUGUGGUCAACUUCGCUGUGGGUAACCAUCGUGCCAGACGCAUCCACUCGUUCUGCAAGUGGAACACCAUGUCCUCGUAAUUGAGCGGAACGCACAUGAAGUAGAUGCCCCACAGACCGGUUUCCUUUCGUAGAAGCACAGGUUGUCCUCGGCGUUUUUGGCGCCACCACCCUGCGUGCGAUACCACGCGCUAAUCAGCGUAUUGGCGACCAUCAGCGGAACAUUGUCUUGAUUGGUCCAGCCGCAACUCAAGACGGCAAUGAUGACGAGGGCCACCGGUAGCGAAUCAUCCCGGUCGCGCACUUCAGAAUCGGUGAAUCGGCACGGCGUCAGAGCGGAAGCCUUUCCGUCGAAGGUGCUGCCUACCUUCCCGAGGUAAGACUCGGUCAGCUCAACCAGGUCUCCUUGUUUGAUUCCACUGGCUGCGGCCAGGACGAUGGGGGCCUUGUAGUGCGAAUCGAUGUAAGCCUGUAGAUUCUUACAGUCUUGACCUUGGUGUUGACAGUGUUGCAAUCGGUGUUGCAAUGUCGGUGCAGACGUCGAGUGCGUGGAUUACCUCGUCAAUGCACUUGCCCCACUCGUAGUUGGAGGCCGUUCCCGCGAGUCGUCCAUCGCCACCACCGAACCAUCCUUCGGGUUGAACGUCUCAAACGGUUCGUCCAGCGUGGGGUAGAUUCCGCCGACGCACUCCGACAUGGUUUUGUUCGCCGAGUCAUCAAUGUUGAAUAUCUGCAGAUGCUCGUCCGAAUCGGCUUCAAUAUCGUGCACUCCACCAGCUCUUGUUUGUUGUUUGGACAAACGACCACGACGGCGAUAAACUGCUGCCAGCCAUGUG